rnacentral:tRNA from 1 species
GCGGAUAUGGUCAAAUGCUAAAAUCUCUU